UUCUAGUUCAAACUCCACCAGAUAUUUGAGCUCCUUCUCUGUACCAGGCAUUGUUCUAAGAUACGUAAGUGAACAAAACCCAUGACACCCUCGUCUAUGAGAGCUGAUCCUCUGGCAGGGACAGACAGGUCAUGAGUGGAGUGAUGGAGCAGCUGGCCUGGUGACUUAGCCGCCUUCAGGUACAGUAGGAGGAGCAAGCCCAGGACAGAGCUUGGAGCUCGGCGGCACAACCAGCACCAUCUGGUCGCGAUGGUGGACACGGAAAGCCCACUCUGC
rnacentral:lncRNA from 1 species